rnacentral:tRNA from 1 species
GCCCGCGUAGCUCAGCUGGUAGAGCACGUCACUCGUAAUGACGGGGUCGUCGGUUCAAGUCCGAUCGUGGGCUCCA